AAAAAAAAAGGGGAAUUACGCCUUGAUUAUUUGGCAAAGUUGCACUAUAAUGAAACAGAAGUGAACAGUUUGGAGCUUUCUAUUUGAGAAUUGUGGUUGUGAUUUUGCUUAGAAGUGGACCGUACUUCAUUAUUUUUGUUGAUCUAACUUCUGUUUUCUUAAUAUUGUUGUGUGUUUACCAUUGGAUCCUUCUAGAUAAUGCAAUCAUCACCACAGAAUUUUAUAUAGCUUUCGUGCUUGUUUAGUCACGUAUGGAAACACUACACCCGCUGAAAGAGGAGAACAACUGCUCCCUCUAAUUUGACCAAUUAGCAACGUGCUAGGUCAGGCAUUGACAGUAUAGACUUAUCUGUUGAAUGCGCCUGCAAAAAAUAAUAUAAAAUCGCAAUGUUUUCCCCAAAAGAAUUUUAAUUUUAAAUUGAUGGUUAAUUUGGAUUUUUAUAUGGGAAGAAACUUAUUGAUGCUCUUUAGAAAUGGUUCAAGAUCCAGUGUCCCCUCAUAAACUCAAUACUACUUUUUGAUGCUUUCCGAGGAAACUCAAGUCAGAGCAAAUCAAUUCAGGAAGCCUUGAAUUCUAGUUUUGUGUUUAAGAAAUAAUUUCUGUGAGUUUCCUGCUGUAUGUUUUGCUAAAAAUCAUCUCUUUGAUUAUGUUCCAAAGUCCUGGCGCUGAUGUUCUUGUAGUAUGAUGACAGUAUGCAUUGCCAUAAUUUUUAUUUUCCUGUUAGCUUAUUUAAUAGUUUUGUAUUAGAUGCUUUUGUUUCAUGAUCAUUGACUAAACCAUGAGCUUACUUGAUCUUUUGCUAUAAGCAUGCAGCGUUUUAGAGUAUUGAAUUGUAAAAAUUUCCUGGCUUGUUAAUGGAUUGAUGAAUUUGAAAUAUCGAUACAGCUUGAAUAGUUCUGUGCGAUA
rnacentral:misc_RNA from 1 species